rnacentral:rRNA from 1 species
GAUGAACGCUGACAGAAUGCUUAACACAUGCAAGUCGAUGGGGAAGUGGUGCUUGCCCCAUGGCAACCAUGGCGGACGGGUGAGUAACGCGUAAGGGACUUACCUGCAGGACUGGGAUAACAGGGGGAAACUCCUGACAAGACCGGAUAAUGUCAUGGAGCUGCAUGGCUUUAUGAUGAAAGGAGACGCCUGCGGAGAGCCUUGCGUCCUAUUAGCUAGUUGGUGAGGUAAUGGCUCACCAAGGCGAAGAUAGGUAGCCGGCCUGAGAGGGUGGACGGCCACAAGGGGACUGAGAUACGGCCCUUACUCCUACGGGAGGCAGCAGUGGGGAAUAUUGGACAAUGGGGCAACCCUGAUCCAGCAAUUCUGUGUGCACGAAGAAGGUUUUCGGAUUGUAAAGUGCUUUCAGCAGGGAAGAAGUAAGUGACGGUACCUGCAGAAGAAGCGACGGCUAAAUACGUG